GUAGGUGACCUGCGGAGGAUCAUUGUCGAAACCUGCCGAGCAGAACGACCCGCGAACUCCGUUUCAUCGCCGGGGGGGACCGCGGUUCCCCUCGCGCGCCGCGCGGGGGCAAGGGCGCCCGCGCUUGUUCCGGCGGCAUAACAGCGAACCCCGGCGCGGACCGCGUCAAGGAAUUUCAACAAGAGAGCGCGCUCCCGCCGCCACCGGAAACGGUGCGCGUGCUCGCGGCGGCGCCUUCUUUCAUUAUCUAAAACGACUCUCGGCAACGGAUAUCUCGGCUCUCGCAUCGAUGAAGAACGUAGCGAAAUGCGAUACUUGGUGUGAAUUGCAGAAUCCCGUGAACCAUCGAGUCUUUGAACGCAAGUUGCGCCCCAAGCCAUUCGGCCGAGGGCACGUCUGCCUGGGUGUCACGCACCGUUGCCCCCGAACCCCUCCCCUUCUCGUACGGGGCGGGGACCGUGGGCGGAGAUUGGCCUCCCGGGAGCCUCGUCUCGCGGUUGGCCCAAAUACGAGUCCUCGGCGGUGCGCGCCGCGGCGUUCGGUGGUGGAAAAGACCUCGAGCCCUCGCCGCGCGCGCGCCGUCGGUCCAAGGCUCCCGGACCCUCGAGUGCCGUCGAAAAGGCACGCAUCGCGAC
rnacentral:misc_RNA from 1 species